UACAGAGACUGCAAGCGUUAUUCGGAUUCACUGGGCGUAAAGGGUGCGCAGGCGGCCGGGUGUGUCAGAUGUGAAAUCCCUCGGCUUAACCGAGGAACUGCCUGUCAGACUGCAUUGCUUGAGUCCGGGAGAGGUGAGUGGAAUUCCCAGUGUAGCGGUGAAAUGCGUAGAUAUUGGGAGGAACACCAGUGGCGAAGGCGGCUCACUGGACCGGAACUGACGCUGAGGCGCGAAAGCGUGGGGAGCAAACAGG
rnacentral:rRNA from 1 species